rfam:Angiostrongylus costaricensis strain Costa Rica genome assembly, scaffold: ACOC_contig0002848
UCCCAUGUGGUCUAGUGGUUAGGGCUCCUGGCUUUCUCUCAGGCGCCCCGGGUUCGAAUCCCAUUAUCGGAA